GUUGGAGGCAGGCAUGGCCGUGGACCAAAGAGCGAAGCAAAAUGGCGAAAGAAACAACGAAACACGUGCCAGUGAUGUUGAAGGAGGAGGGGAGCAUCUGAGCUCCAGAUAACAUGGACCCUCACAGCGAAGAGGAAAAUCUGCCGUAAUUUUCCGACGAUUUUAGACAAUUGAGAUUGGUGGGACCGGAAGGACCUUGUGGCGGAGAUUUAGAGAUUCGUUACAGAGGCCAGUGGAUGUCAGUCUGCACCACCCAUUGGGAUGAAAGCUAUGGAGAAAUCGUCUGUAGACAGGUUGGAUGCAACCUCUACGACGCGCUACUAAUCAAACCUAUCUCGCGCAAAGAUGGGCCGCUUUUGCUGGACAAAGUUCAAUGCAACGGAACUGGUAUUUCAUCCUCGGGCUGUUCGUUCACUGUCUCCAACGCGAAGGACUGCGAAAGUGGGACGAUUG